rnacentral:rRNA from 1 species
ACGAAGGGGGCUAGCGUUGUUCGGAAUUACUGGGCGUAAAGCGCGCGUAGGCGGACUAUUAAGUCAGAUGUGAAAGCCCGGGGCUCAACCUCGGAAUUGCAUUUGAAACUGGUAGUCUAGAGACCAGGAGAGGUUAGCGGAAUACCGAGUGUAGAGGUGAAAUUCGUAGAUAUUCGGUGGAACACCAGUGGCGAAGGCGGCUAACUGGACUGGUACUGACGCUGAGGCGCGAAAGUGUGGGGAGCAAACAGG